rnacentral:snRNA from 1 species
GUUGCUUCUAGGCCUUUUGGCUAAGAUCAAGUGUAGUAUCAAAUUUGCAUUAUGGAUAUUUGUUGAAUGGCAUAUAAUCUGGGUUUUUUGCCAUUUGGUUUUAUAUGUGCACUCUCCCCCUGCUAUUUUAAAGGGAAAAUAUUUU